AGCUAGUUGUAUUAACUAUUAGUUAAUACAAGAUCGACUAUGUCGACUAAAGUUCUAGGUAGAAUAAUGAUGAUGACAAUUUUCUACCUAUAUGUCUUGACCAAAUCUCGUGCCAGCAGUCGCGGUAAUACGUGAAAGACUAGUGUUAUUCAUCUUUAAUAGGUUUAAAGGGUACCUAGACGGUUUAUCUAGCCCAAAACAGGGUACGGAUUUUCUAGAGUUUUAUGUGAGGAGGGGAGUACUCAUAGAGUAGAGAUGAAAUUUUGUGAUACUAUGAGGAAACUGGUGACGGCGAAAGCAACCUUCUAUGUAUAAACUGACGUUGAGGGACGAAGGCUUGGGUAGCAAAUAGGAUUAGAUACCCUAGUAGUCCAAGCAGACAAUUCUGAAUGCCAUAGAUUAGAUUUUUUUGGUCUAUAAAUGAAAGUGUAAGCAUUCCACCUUAGGAGUAAUGUGGCAACACAGGAACUGAAAUCAUUAGACCGUUUCUGAAACCAGUAGUGAAGUAUGUUAUUUAAUUUGUUAGUCCUCAAAAAACCUUACCACAACUUGAAUGUUAUUUAAUUAAUACAAGCGUUGCACGGCUGUCUUCAGUUAAUGUCGUGAGAUUUUGGUUAACUCCCUCAAUUAACGUAAACCCUUACUUU
rnacentral:rRNA from 1 species